CGUCGAGGGAAAUGGAAAGCCUGGCGAACGGGUGAAUAACGCGUGGGAAAGAAACAUCUCCGCAGGGGAUAACAUUUUAAACAGAUGAUAAUACCGUAUAACUAUAGCAACUGCAUGGUUGUUACGUAAAAGAUGCCUCUUCUAUCACUAAGAGAUGGUCCCGCGGUGCAUUAGUUAGUUGGUGAGGUAAUGGCUCACCAAGACGAUGAUGCAUAGCCGAGUUGAGAGACUGAUCGGCCACAAUGGGACUGAGACACGGCCCAUACUCCUACGGGAGGCAGCAGUAGGGAAUCUUCCACAAUGGGCGAAAGCCUGAUGGAGCAACGCCGCGUGUGUGAUGAAGGGUUUCGGCUCGUAAAACACUGUUGUAAGAGAAGAAUGACAUUGAGAGUAACUGUUCAAUGUGUGACGGUAUCUUACCAGAAAGGAACGGCUAAAUACGUGCCAGCAGCCGCGGUAAUACGUAUGUUCCAAGCGUUAUCCGGAUUUAUUGGGCGUAAAGCGAGCGCAGACGGUUAUUUAAGUCUGAAGUGAAAGCCCUCAGCUCAACUGAGGAAUUGCUUUGGAAACUGGAUGACUUGAGUGCAGUAGAGGAAAGUGGAACUCCAUGUGUAGCGGUGAAAUGCGUAGAUAUAUGGAAGAACACCAGUGGCGAAGGCGGCUUUCUGGACUGUAACUGACGUUGAGGCUCGAAAGUGUGGGUAGCAAACAGGAUUAGAUACCCUGGUAGUCCACACCGUAAACGAUGAGUGCUAGGUGUUUGAGGGUUUCCGCCCUUAAGUGCCGCAGCUAACGCAUUAAGCACUCCGCCUGGGGAGUACGACCGCAAGGUUGAAACUCAAAGGAAUUGACGGGGACCCGCACAAGCGGUGGAGCAUGUGGUUUAAUUCGAAGCAACGCGAAGAACCUUACCAGGUCUUGACAUCCCUUGACAACUCCAGAGAUGGAGCGUUCCCUUCGGGGACAAGGUGACAGGUGGUGCAUGGUUGUCGUCAGCUCGUGUCGUGAGAUGUUGGGUUAAGUCCCGCAACGAGCGCAACCCUUAUUACUAGUUGCCAGCAUUUAGUUGGGCACUCUAGUGAGACUGCCGGUGACAAACCGGAGGAAGGUGGGGAUGACGUCAAAUCAUCAUGCCCCUUAUGACCUGGGCUACACACGUGCUACAAUGGCGUAUACCACGAGUUGCCAACCCGCGAGGGUGAGCUAAUCUCUUAAAGUACGUCUCAGUUCGGAUUGCAGGCUGCAGCUCGCCUACAUGAAGGCCAAAAACGCUAGUAGUCCCGGAGCAACAGGCGACGCUGAAUAUUUCCCAGAACUUGAACUUUGCGGCCGUCACCCCCAGACAGAUUGUAUAAGGCGAUACCUGCGGCAUUAUCUUGGCGAAACACUCACUACCGUGCCACUCAUCGAUUACGGUGUGGACUA
rnacentral:rRNA from 1 species